rnacentral:lncRNA from 1 species
UCAUCCAUUUAACCAGCGACUUUCAAUGUGGAUAGUAUUGACUAUGACACUCCCUGCCCUUCAGAGCAAGAUCAGAUUGCAAAUGUGUUCUCCAAUGGCUUCUCUGGAUCUGGAUUAGAGAAAACUGAUGGCUGAUGGUGAUCAUAGAAACAAGGCAUGACAGUGACAUGCUUCAUUUAUGCCCACAAUUGAUUAUAUCAAAUGGCUUAUAAGCUUCUGGAAUCAACUGUGUGAUCUUCAAAACUGGCAACUUGAGAACAGAGCAGGAAAAGUUAUGGUGCUGACAAUCCCCCAGGGACCAGUGGCCCACUCACUUAUCGUAUCGGGGAAAUCCACUCGGCAGCAAGGGGCUCUGUGCUGGCAGGGAAUCCCCACUGCAGCAGCAAUCUUUGUGGGGUCGAGCUGCAAACGGUUUUUCAGAUUUAGCACACAGCCUCAUGAGGAGGAAGAGUUACAUAUGCCUCUGCUGAGAAACAAAGCCGAUGACAUGGAAACAUCAGGGGAAAGGGGAGAUUAUUUCUAG